rnacentral:rRNA from 1 species
UACGUAUGGGGCGAGCGUUAUCCGGAUUUAUUGGGUUUAAAGGGUGCGUAGGCGGACUGGUAAGUCAGCUGUGAAAGUUUACGGCUCAACCGUGAAAUUGCAGUUGAUACUGUUGGUCUUGAGUAUACAUGAGGUGGGCGGAAUUUGUGGUGUAGCGGUGAAAUGCUUAGAUAUCACAAGGAACUCCAAUGGCGAAGGCAGCUCACUGGGGUAUAACUGACGCUGAUGCACGAAGGUGUGGGGAUCAAACAGG